AUUGGGAGUUGUCGAUGUGUAGUAGCCAGAGGCCCUCUCCCCUCUCCACCAGCUAUCCCUGUACCCUGCGCCAGUACCUUUGUGUGAACACACCCAGCCCCCGCCUCGCUGCCAUGAUGCUGCUGCAGCUGCUGGAAGGCGUGGACCAUCUGGUUCAACAGGGCAUCGCGCACAGAGACCUGAAAUCCGACAACAUCCUUGUGGAGCUGGACCCAGACGGCUGCCCCUGGCUGGUGAUCGCAGAUUUUGGCUGCUGCCUGGCUGAUGAGAGCAUCGGCCUGCAGUUGCCCUUCAGCAGCUGGUACGUGGAUCGGGGCGGAAACGGCUGUCUGAUGGCCCCAGAGGUGUCCACGGCCCGUCCUGGCCCCAGGGCAGUGAUUGACUACAGCAAGGCUGAUGCCUGGGCAGUGGGAGCCAUCGCCUAUGAAAUCUUCGGGCUUGUCAAUCCCUUCUACGGCCAGGGCAAGGCCCACCUUGAAAGCCGCAGCUACCGAGAGGCUCAGCUACCUGCACUGCCCGAGUCAGUGCCUCCAGACGUGAGACAGUUGGUGAGGGCACUGCUCCAGCGAGAGGCCAGCAAGAGACCAUCUGCCCGAGUAGCCGCAAAUGUGCUUCAUCUAAGCCUCUGGGGUGAACAUAUUCUAGCCCUGAAGAAUCUGAAGUUAGACAAGAUGGUUGGUUGGCUCCUCCAACAAUCGGCCGCCACUUUGUUGGCCAGCAGGCUCACAGAGAAGUGUUGUGUGGAAACAAAAAUGAAGAUGCUCUUUCUGGCUAACCUGGAGUGUGAAACGCUCUGCCAGGCAGCCCUCCUCCUCUGCUCAUGGAGGGCAGCCCUGUGAUGUCCCUGCAUGGAGCUGGUGAAUUACUAAAAGAACUUGGCAUCCUCUGUGUCGUGAUGGUCUGUGAAUGGUGAGGGUGGGAGUCAGGAGACAAGACAGCGCAGAGAGGGCUGGUUAGCCGGAAAAGGCCUCGGGCUUGGCAAAUGGAAGAACUUGAGUGAGAGUUCAGUCUGCAGUCCUGUGCUCACAGACAUCUGAAAAGUGACUGGCCAAGCUGGUCUAGUAGAUGAGGCUGGACUGAGGAGGGGUAGGCCUGCAUCCACAUAGAGGAUCCAGGCCAAGGCACUGGCUGUCAGUGGCAGAGUUUGGCUGUGACCUUUGCCCCUAACACGAGGAACUCGUUUGAAGGGGGCAGCGUAGCAUGUCUGAUUUGCCACCUGGAUGAAGGCAGACAUCAACAUGGGUCAGCACGUUCAGUUACGGGAGUGGGAAAUUACAUGAGGCCUGGGCCUCUGCGUUCCCAAGCUGUGCGUUCUGGACCAGCUACUGAAUUAUUAAUCAUCUCACUUAGCGAAAGUGACUGAUGAGCAGUAAGUAAGUGUGGGGAUUUAAACUUGAGGGUUUCCCUCCUGACUAGCCUCUCUUACAGGAAUUGUGAAAUAUUAAAUGCAAAUUUACAACUGCAGAUGACGUAUGUGCCUUGAACUGAAUAUUUGGCUUUAAGAAUGAUUCUUACACUCUGAAGGUGAGAAUAUUUUGUGGGCAGGUAUCAACAUUGGGGAAGAGAUUUCACGUCUAACUAACUUUAUACAUGAUUUUUAGGAAGCUAUUGCCUAAAUCAGCGUCAACAUGCAGUAAAGGUUGUCUUCAACCG
rnacentral:sRNA from 1 species